GGCCCUGGAGGGUAGAGAUGUGCAGGAGACAGUUGCUGGUAAAGAACCUCGAGACUUGGAUGAGAUUGCUCUCAGAGAUGCUCUGCGAUAUAUAUUGAGGUGUCUGGUGGAAAAAGCUGUAGCGUUGUGUGAUCUGCCACAGUUAGCAUCAUUGGAGGAGCUGGAACGUGCGUUUAGUGUGCUGCACACAGAACACACACGAGCUCUCGCACAUCACAAACACAGAAUAGACACACUGGAGGCUAGAGUGAGGGGACUGAACAAUACUCGCCCUACCUGUCAGGAGACUAGUCAGGUUGCUAGACAGCAACACACACCUCAGAGUCAGCCAUACCUGUUGUCACUGUCUCGGAUGGCACAGAAAGUGUCUCCUAUCAUCC